rnacentral:rRNA from 1 species
AUUGAACGCUGGCGGCAGGCCUAACACAUGCAAGUCGAGCGAGCGGCGGACGGGUGAGUAAUGUCUGGGAAACUGCCUGAUGGAGGGGGAUAACUACUGGAAACGGUAGCUAAUACCGCAUACCAUCAGAUGUGCCCAGAUGGGAUUAGCUAGUAGGUGGGGUAAUGGCUCACCUAGGCGACGGUCCCUAGCGGGUCUGAGAGGAUGACCAGCCACACUGGAACUGAGCAACGGUCCAGACUCCUACGGGAGGCAGCAGUGGGAAAUAAUGCACAAUGGGGGCAAGCCUGAUUCAGCAAAGCCGAGUGUGUGAUGAAGGCCUGCGGGUAGGAAAACAAUUUCAGCGGGGGUGCGUUACCCGCAGAAGAAGCACCGGCUAACUCCGUACCAGCAGCCGCGGUAAUUC